rnacentral:rRNA from 1 species
CGAGAAAUCAGGAGUAUUCGGUUCCGGGGGGAGUAUGGUCGCAAGGCCGAAACUUAAAGGAAUUGACGGAAGGCACCACCAGGAGUGGAAUCUGCGGCUUAAUUUGACAACGCGGGAAAACUCACCAGGUCAGGACACGGUAAGGAUUGACGGACUGAAGGCUCUUCUCGAUUCCGUGGAAAGUGGUGCAUGGCCGUUUUUGGUUGGUGGAUCGAUCCGUCUGGUUAAUUCCGUUAACGAACGAGACCUCGGCACUCCGAAUAGCGCGGCGGACGUCGCGGCCUCCGGGCCGUCUUCCGCACGAGCUUCUUAGAGGGACCGUCCCCCGCCGGGGAAGGAGGUGCGAGGCAACGACAGGUCUGUGAUGCCCUUAGAUGUUCUGGGCCGCACGCGCAUUACACUGACGCGUCCAACGGGUGACUCCCGACCCGAAGGGGCCGGGGAAUCCGCAAGGCGCGUCGUGAUGGGGAUUGAACGUUGCAAUUGUUGUUCACGAACGAGGAAUUCCUAGUAGGCGCGGGUCAUCAACCCGCGCCGAUUACGUCCCUGCCCUUUGUACACACCGCCC